UACGUAGGGUGCGAGCGUUGUCCGGAAUUAUUGGGCGUAAAGAGCUUGUAGGCGGUUUGUCGCGUCUGCCGUGAAAAUUCGAGGCUCAACCUCGAACUUGCGGUGGGUACGGGCAGACUAGGGUGAUGUAGGGGAGACUGGAAUUCCUGGUGUAGCGGUGAAAUGCGCAGAUAUCAGGAGGAACACCGAUGGCGAAGGCAGGUCUCUGGGCAUUAACUGACGCUGAGGAGCGAAAGCAUGGGGAGCGAACAGG
rnacentral:rRNA from 1 species